UGAAUUUGGUGCUUGCACCAAAUGAAACUAGAUACAAGCGAGCGGCAGACGGGUGAGUAACACGUGGGUAACCUGCCCAAGAGACUGGGAUAACACCUGGAAACAGAUGCUAAUACCGGAUAACAACACUAGACGCAUGUCUAGAGUUUAAAAGAUGGUUCUGCUAUCACUCUUGGAUGGACCUGCGGUGCAUUAGCUAGUUGGUAAGGUAACGGCUUACCAAGGCAAUGAUGCAUAGCCGAGUUGAGAGACUGAUCGGCCACAUUGGGACUGAGACACGGCCCAAACUCCUACGGGAGGCAGCAGUAGGGAAUCUUCCACAAUGGACGCAAGUCUGAUGGAGCAACGCCGCGUGAGUGAAGAAGGGUUUCGGCUCGUAAAGCUCUGUUGGUAGUGAAGAAAGAUAGAGGUAGUAACUGGCCUUUAUUUGACGGUAAUUACUUAGAAAGUCACGGCUAACUACGUGCCAGCAGCCGCGGUAAUACGUAGGUGGCAAGCGUUGUCCGGAUUUAUUGGGCGUAAAGCGAGUGCAGGCGGUUCAAUAAGUCUGAUGUGAAAGCCUUCGGCUCAACCGGAGAAUUGCAUCAGAAACUGUUGAACUUGAGUGCAGAAGAGGAGAGUGGAACUCCAUGUGUAGCGGUGGAAUGCGUAGAUAUAUGGAAGAACACCAGUGGCGAAGGCGGCUCUCUGGUCUGC
rnacentral:rRNA from 1 species